rnacentral:rRNA from 1 species
AUUGAACGCUGGCGGCAUGCUUUACACAUGCAAGUCGAACGGUAACAGGGUGCUUGCACCGCUGACGAGUGGCGAACGGGUGAGUAAUACAUCGGAAUGUACCCAGUAAUGGGGGAUAACGCUUCGAAAGGAGUGCUAAUACCGCAUACGCCCUGAGGGGGAAAGUGGGGGACCGCAAGGCCUCACGUUAUUGGAGCAGCCGAUGGCUGAUUAGCUAGUUGGUGAGGUAAAGGCUCACCAAGGCGACGAUCAGUAGGGGGUCUUAGAGGACGAUCCGCCACACUGGAACAGAGACACGGUCCAGACUCCUACGGGAGGCAGCAGUGGGGAAUCUUGGACAAUGGGCGAAAGCCUGAUCCAGCAAUGCCGCGUGCGUGAAGAAGGCCUUCGGGUUGUAAACUGCUUUUGUACGGAACGAAACGGCGAGCUCUAAUAAAGUUUGCUAAUGACGGUACCGUAAGAAUAAGCACCGGCUAACUACGUGCCAGCCGCCGCAGUAA